GUCCCUGUAGGGUAAUGGAUAACGCGUAAGACUUUUAAUCUAAAGGUCGUGGAUUCGAAUCCCACCUGGGAUG